UUUUAUGAUCCCCGACUUUGUGUAUUAGCUAUAAGUUCUUUCGGUCGGUUUUUAUGAUCCCUGACUUUGCGUAUUAGCUCUAAGUUCUUUCGGUCCCUUUUUAUGAUCCCCGACUUUGCGUAUUAGCUUUAAGUUCUCUCGGUCCGUUUUUAUGAUCCCCGACUUUGCGUAUUAGCUAUAAGUUCUUUCGGUCCGUUUUUAUGAUCCUCGACUUUGCGUAUUAGCUCUAAGUUCUUUCGGUCCGUUUUAUGAUCCCCGACUUUGCGUACUAGCUCUAAGUUCUCUCGGUCUGUUUUUAUGAUCCUCGACUUUGCGGAUUAGCUCUAAGUUCUUUCGGUCCGUUUUUAUGAUCCCCGACUUUGCGUAUUAGCUCUAAGUUCUUUCGGUCCAUUUUUAUGAUCCCCUACUUUGCGUAUUAGCUCUAAGUUCUUUCGGUCCGUUUUUAUGAUCCUCGACUUUGCGUAUUUGCUCUAAGUUCUGUCGGUCCGCUUUUAUGAUCCUCGACUUUGCGUAUAAGCUCAAAUUUCUUUUGAUACGUUUUUAUGAUCCCCGACUUUGCGUAUUAGCUCUAAGUUCUUUCGGUCCGUUUCUAUGAUCCCCGACUUUGCGUAUAAGCUCUAAGUUCUUUCGGUCUGUUUUUAUGAUCCCCGACUUUGCGUAUCAGCUCUAAGUUCUUCCGGUCCGUUUUUAUGAUCUCUGACUUUACGUAUCAGCUCUAAGUUCUUUCGGUCUGUUUUUAUGAUCCCCGACUUUGCGUCUUAGUUCUAAGUUCUUUCGGUCCGUUUUUAUGAUCCCCGACUUUCCGUAUUAGCUCUAAGUUCUUUCGGUCUCUUUUUAUGAUCCCCGACUUUGCGUAUUAGCUCUAAGUUCUUUCAGUCGGUUUUAUGAUCCCUGACAUUGCGUAUUAGCUCUAAGUUCUUUCGGUCCGUUUUGAUGGUCUUUGCGUAUUAGCUCUAAGUUCUUUCGGUCAUUUUUAUGACGUAUUAGCUCUAAGUUCUUUUGGUCGUUUUUAUGAUCCCCGACGUUGCGUAUUAGCUCUAACUUCUUUCGCUCGGUUUUAUGAUCCCCGACUUUGCGUAUUAGCUCUAAGUUCUUUCGGUCCGUUUUGAUGAUCCCCGACUUUGCGUAUUACCUCUAAGUUCUUUCGGUCGGUUUUAUGAUCCCUGACUUUGCGUAUUAGCUCUAAGUUCUUUCGCUCCGUUUUGAUGAUCCCCGACUUUGCCUAUUACCUCUAAGUUCUUUCGGUCGGUUUUAUGAUCCCUGACUUUGCGUAUUAGCUCUAAGUUCUUUCGUCCCUUUUUAAGAUCCCCGACUUUGCAUAUUAGCUCUAAGUUCUUUUGGUCGGUUUUUAUGAUCCCUGACUUUGCGUAUUAGCUCUAAGUUCUUUCGGUCCGUUUUUAUGAUCCCCGACUUUGCGUAUUAGCUCAAAGUUCUUUCGGUUGUUUUAAUGAUCCCCGACUUUACGUAUUAGCUCUAAGUUCUUUCGAUCCGUUUUUAUGAUCCCCGACUUUGCGUAUUAGCUCUAAGUUCUUUCGGUCGUUUUUUGAUACCCGAGUUUGCGUAUUAGCUCUAAGUUCUUUCGAUCGGUUUUUAUGAUCCUCGACUUUGCGUAUUAGCUCUAAGUUCUAUCGGUCCGUUUUUAUGAUCCCCGACUUUGCGUAUUAGCUCUAAGUUCUUUCGGUCGGUUUUUAUGAUCCCUGACUUUGCGUAUUAGCUCUAAGUUCUUUCGGUCCCUUUUUAUGAUCCCCGACUUUGCGUAUUAGCUCUAAGUUCUUUCGGUCCCUUUUUAUGAUCCCUGACUUUGCGUAUUAGCUCUAAGUUGUUUCGGUCCCUUUUUAUGAUCCCCGACUUUGCGUAUUAGCUCUAAAUUCUUUCGGUCCGUUUUUAUGAUCCCCGACUUUACGUAUUAGCUCUAAGUUGUUUCGGUCCGUUUUUAUGAUCCCGGACUUUGCGUAUUAGCUCUAAGUUCUUUCGGUCCGUUUUUAUGAUCCCUGACUUUGCGUAUUAGCUCUAAGUUGUUUCGGUCCCUUUUUAUGAUCCCCGACUUUGCGUAUUAGCUCUAAAUUCUUUCGGUCCGUUUUUAUGAUCCCCGACUUUACGUAUUAGCUCUAAGUUCUUUUGGUCCGUUUUUAUGAUCCCAGACUUUGCGUAUUAGCUCUAAGUUCUUUCGGUCCGUUUUUAUGAUCCCCGACUUUGCGUAUUAGCUCUAAGUUCUUUCGGUCCGUUUUUAUGAUCCCUGACUUUGCGUAUUAGCUCUAAGUUCUUUCGGUCCCUUUUUAUGAUCCCCAACUUUGCGUAUUAGCUCUAAAUUCUUUCGGUCCGUUUUUAUGAUCCCCAACUUUACGUAUUCGCUCUAAGUUGUUUCGGUCCGUUUUUAUGAUCCCGGACUUUGCGUAUUAGCUCUAAGUUCUUUCGGUCCAUUUUUAUGAUCCCUGACUUUGCGUAUUAGCUCUAAGUUCUUUCGGUCCGUUUUUAUGAUCCCCGACUUUCCGUAUUACCUCUAAGUUCUUUUAGUCGGUUUUUAUGAUCCCCGACUUUGCGUAUUAGCUCUAAGUUCUUUCGGUCGGUUUUUAUGAUCCCUGACUUUGCGUAUUAGCACUAAGUUCUUUC
rnacentral:lncRNA from 1 species